UUUGCCAACAGGUGAUAAUAAAAUUGACAAGUUUGUGGAAUGUGGAAGGUUACCGAAGGAGAUUUCGCUUAACAACAUUUAUUUAUUUUUUAAUCAUUAGAGAAAAAGAUUCUCGCAUAGUAGCUCGUGGGUUUUCUGAUUUUAUCUUGCCGAUAUCGGACUUUAAAAUUGAAAAUUAAACUGUCGCAGACAUUUGUACCCACGUUACUUGCGUUUUUGAUUGAUAACCGGAC
rnacentral:lncRNA from 1 species